CUCCUGCGGGAUCGGUUCAAGAGCCGAUCGAGACGAGCUAUGUGGCUUUCCUAAAAUUUUGGGGUUUUAAAGCGGACUUUCCCGCUCCGGUUCAUCCCUCCACCCGGUUCCCACGGCCUCUGCCCUAAAACACCUGAGAGCAGUCGCUCGGAGGAGACAAGAAGCUUUCCUUCUAUCUUCUACAAAUCCCAGGGGGAUUUCCACUCCGAUCCCCAUCCAUGGAAGCCCACGUGGCUCUCAGCUGCGGCAGGCCAUACCUCGCCGCUCUCUCUUCUUCGAGCCUCCCGAGAUCGGCGCGGCUCCCAAUCUUUCCCAUCGCUUCGUGUCCAUCUAUUGCUCCCAACAAUUUAUGCUGCAGAGCUUCUCUGGCUGCAGAUCCCAGUGUGCCCGUGGCUGAGAUAAAGAAGACCCAUAUUGAAGAGACUGCAGACAUGGAAUCGUUCAGCUUGAUGAAUUUGUCGCCGUUGGAUGGCCGUUAUGUGCAAAAGGUCAAAGAUUUGCGGCCAAUCUUCAGCGAGUAUGGGUUAAUCAGGUAUCGUGUUAUAGUCGAGGUCAAAUGGUUGCUGAAACUUUCUCAAAUUCAGGAAAUCAUAGAAGUCCCAAGCUUUAGCAGCGAUGCUCAAUCUUUCUUGGAAAGAAUAAUUCAUGAAUUUGAUAUAAAUGAGGCCCUAGAAGUGAAAAAAAUUGAAAAAGUGACCAAUCAUGAUGUCAAGGCAGUAGAGUACUUUUUAAAACAGAGGUGUAAGUCCUGUCCAGAGGUAGCAAAGGUGCUUGAGUUUUUUCAUUUUGCCUGUACAUCUGAGGAUAUAAACAACCUAGCCCAUGCAUUGGCAUUGAAAGAGGCUUGCAACACUGUUAUAUUCCCUGUUAUGAUUGAAUUAUGCAAAACUAUACGUGACAUGGCAAAGGAGAAUGCACAUGUCCCUAUGUUGUCUCGCACUCAUGGGCAGCCAGCAUCCCCUACUACUUUGGGAAAGGAAAUGGCAAAUUUUGCUGUUAGACUAAGUGAGCUAGGAAAGACUUUCGCUGAAGUUCGAAUAUUGGGAAAGUUUGCUGGUGCGGUUGGGAACUACAAUGCCCACAAAGUUGCAUAUCCUAAUGUCAACUGGCCAAGAGUAGCAGCAGAGUUUGUGAGAUCUUUGGGAAUAAAUUUCAACCCUUAUGUAACACAGAUCGAGCCUCAUGACUAUAUUGCAAAGCUUUUCAAUGCAGUCACCCAGUUCAACAACAUUUUGCUUGAUUUUGACAGAGACAUUUGGAGCUACAUAUCAUUGGGUUACUUUAAGCAGAUAACUAAGGCUGGUGAAAUUGGUUCCUCCACUAUGCCUCAUAAAGUCAAUCCUAUUGAUUUUGAAAAUAGCGAGGGUAAUCUAUGUUUGGCUAAUGCUGUUUUAUCUGCCCUUAGCAUGAAGUUACCCAUUUCACGCAUGCAGCGGGACCUUACCGAUUCAACUGUCUUGAGGAAUUUGGGUGUUGGCCUAGGGUAUUCUCUCUUGGCUUAUAGAAGUUCACUACAGGGAAUUAAAAAGCUACAGGUGAACGAAUUUCGACUAAAUCAAGACUUGGAGCAGACAUGGGAGGUCCUUGCUGAACCAAUACAAACGGUUAUGAGGCGGCAUGCUGUUCCCGAACCAUAUGAGAAGCUGAAGGAGUUGACAAGAGGAAGGGAUGUUACCAAGGAGAGCAUAAGAGAGUUCACUGAAGGUCUGGAUUUGCCCCAGGAGACCAAGUCACUUCUUUUGGAUUUGGCUCCUCAGUCCUAUCUUGGAGAAGCAGAGAAUUUAGCUAAAGUGAUCGACGAUGCUGUGGACUUAGAGAAUGGAUUUAAGCUUCUAUAGAUCAGUAUCGUUGGAUGUUACUGUAGUCCUUGACUUCAAUAAAGGAGCCAGGCUGGUAUUCACAAUCUACCCUGCAACCAUAGGUGAAUCUUUUCGGUCUGUUUUUCUUCUUAAACUGAGAAUGUCAACACAAAGAAACAAUCACGAGCUGCAAGCAAAUUGCUAAGCUUCUACUGCAUGGAGAUGGAGGACCGUGUGUUGAGCGUCGAUUCCCAAAUUCGAAUCACCAUUCCGUGUGGGCCCGCGGACACUCGGCGCGCAAAAUCAAUGGCAUCAAUCACUGACCCAAAAAAAAAUAAAAAAAGAACUGGUGAUACGAACAGCUUCAAAACAAGACAAGAAAUGUGGGGGCAACAAAGCAAAAAAAAAAAAAAAAAAAUCCCAUCUAACACAUCAAUCACUGGGCGUUGGUCUUGUAGCAAAGAUUUUUGUUAUACGAUCUCAAAGUCUAGGGUUUGAGAU